UUAAGCGACUAAGCGUACACGGUGGAUGCCCUGGCAGUCAGAGGCGAUGAAGGACGUGCUAAUCUGCGAUAAGCGUCGGUAAGGUGAUAUGAACCGUUAUAACCGGCGAUUUCCGAAUGGGGAAACCCAGUGUGAUCCGUCACACUAUCAUUAACUGAAUCCAUAGGUUAAUGAGGCGAACCGGGGGAACUGAAACAUCUAAGUACCCCGAGGAAAAGAAAUCAACCGAGAUUCCCCCAGUAGCGGCGAGCGAACGGGGAGCAGCCCAGAGCCUGAAUCAGUGUGUGUGUUAGUGGAAGCGUCUGGAAAGGCGUGCGAUACAGGGUGACAGCCCCGUACACAAAAAUGCACAUGCUGUGAGCUCGAUGAGUAGGGCGGGACACGUGGUAUCCUGUCUGAAUAUGGGGGGACCAUCCUCCAAGGCUAAAUACUCCUGACUGACCGAUAGUGAACCAGUACCGUGAGGGAAAGGCGAAAAGAACCCCGGCGAGGGGAGUGAAAAAGAACCUGAAACCGUGUACGUACAAGCAGUGGGAGCCUCUUUAUGGGGUGACUGCGUACCUUUUGUAUAAUGGGUCAGCGACUUAUAUUCUGUAGCAAGGUUAACCGAAUAGGGGAGCCGAAGGGAAACCGAGUCUUAACUGGGCGUUAAGUUGCAGGGUAUAGACCCGAAACCCGGUGAUCUAGCCAUGGGCAGGUUGAAGGUUGGGUAACACUAACUGGAGGACCGAACCGACUAAUGUUGAAAAAUUAGCGGAUGACUUGUGGCUGGGGGUGAAAGGCCAAUCAAACCGGGAGAUAGCUGGUUCUCCCCGAAAGCUAUUUAGGUAGCGCCUCGUGAAUUCAUCUCCGGGGGUAGAGCACUGUUUCGGCAAGGGGGUCAUCCCGACUUACCAACCCGAUGCAAACUGCGAAUACCGGAGAAUGUUAUCACGGGAGACACACGGCGGGUGCUAACGUCCGUCGUGAAGAGGGAAACAACCCAGACCGCCAGCUAAGGUCCCAAAGUCAUGGUUAAGUGGGAAACGAUGUGGGAAGGCCCAGACAGCCAGGAUGUUGGCUUAGAAGCAGCCAUCAUUUAAAGAAAGCGUAAUAGCUCACUGGUCGAGUCGGCCUGCGCGGAAGAUGUAACGGGGCUAAACCAUGCACCGAAGCUGCGGCAGCGACACUAUGUGUUGUUGGGUAGGGGAGCGUUCUGUAAGCCGUUGAAGGUGGCCUGUGAGGGUUGCUGGAGGUAUCAGAAGUGCGAAUGCUGACAUAAGUAACGAUAAAGCGGGUGAAAAGCCCGCUCGCCGGAAGACCAAGGGUUCCUGUCCAACGUUAAUCGGGGCAGGGUGAGUCGACCCCUAAGGCGAGGCCGAAAGGCGUAGUCGAUGGGAAACAGGUUAAUAUUCCUGUACUUGGUGUUACUGCGAAGGGGGGACGGAGAAGGCUAUGUUGGCCGGGCGACGGUUGUCCCGGUUUAAGCGUGUAGGCUGAUUUUCCAGGCAAAUCCGGAGAAUCAAGGCUGAGGCGUGAUGACGAGGCACUACGGUGCUGAAGCAACAAAUGCCCUGCUUCCAGGAAAAGCCUCUAAGCAUCAGGUAACAUCAAAUCGUACCCCAAACCGACACAGGUGGUCAGGUAGAGAAUACCAAGGCGCUUGAGAGAACUCGGGUGAAGGAACUAGGCAAAAUGGUGCCGUAACUUCGGGAGAAGGCACGCUGAUGGUAGGUGAAGCGACUUGCUCGUGGAGCUGAAAUCAGUCGAAGAUACCAGCUGGCUGCAACUGUUUAUUAAAAACACAGCACUGUGCAAACACGAAAGUGGACGUAUACGGUGUGACGCCUGCCCGGUGCCGGAAGGUUAAUUGAUGGGGUCAGCCGCAAGGCGAAGCUCUUGAUCGAAGCCCCGGUAAACGGCGGCCGUAACUAUAACGGUCCUAAGGUAGCGAAAUUCCUUGUCGGGUAAGUUCCGACCUGCACGAAUGGCGUAAUGAUGGCCAGGCUGUCUCCACCCGAGACUCAGUGAAAUUGAACUCGCUGUGAAGAUGCAGUGUACCCGCGGCAAGACGGAAAGACCCCGUGAACCUUUACUAUAGCUUGACACUGAACAUUGAGCCUUGAUGUGUAGGAUAGGUGGGAGGCUUUGAAGUGUGGACGCCAGUCUGCAUGGAGCCGACCUUGAAAUACCACCCUUUAAUGUUUGAUGUUCUAACGUGGACCCGUGAUCCGGGUUGCGGACAGUGUCUGGUGGGUAGUUUGACUGGGGCGGUCUCCUCCUAAAGAGUAACGGAGGAGCACGAAGGUUGGCUAAUCCUGGUCGGACAUCAGGAGGUUAGUGCAAUGGCAUAAGCCAGCUUGACUGCGAGCGUGACGGCGCGAGCAGGUGCGAAAGCAGGUCAUAGUGAUCCGGUGGUUCUGAAUGGAAGGGCCAUCGCUCAACGGAUAAAAGGUACUCCGGGGAUAACAGGCUGAUACCGCCCAAGAGUUCAUAUCGACGGCGGUGUUUGGCACCUCGAUGUCGGCUCAUCACAUCCUGGGGCUGAAGUAGGUCCCAAGGGUAUGGCUGUUCGCCAUUUAAAGUGGUACGCGAGCUGGGUUUAGAACGUCGUGAGACAGUUCGGUCCCUAUCUGCCGUGGGCGCUGGAGAACUGAGGGGGGCUGCUCCUAGUACGAGAGGACCGGAGUGGACGCAUCACUGGUGUUCGGGUUGUCAUGCCAAUGGCACUGCCCGGUAGCUAAAUGCGGAAGAGAUAAGUGCUGAAAGCAUCUAAGCACGAAACUUGCCCCGAGAUGAGUUCUCCCUGAGACUUUAAGUCUCCUGAAGGAACGUUGAAGACGACGACGUUGAUAGGCCGGGUGUGUAAGCGCAGCGAUGCGUUGAGCUAACCGGUACUAAUGAACCGUGAGGCUUAACCUU
rnacentral:rRNA from 1 species